rnacentral:misc_RNA from 1 species
UCAGUGCUGGGGUGGAUUGUGCCGCUCUUCACUCUACCUCCACGUACAUAGACACAGACCCCUCCUCCUGACUCUCUUGCAGGGAGAGCACUACCGCCCUUUCAGCGCACCACCGUCACGACUACUAGUGCGCCAGUACCACCACUGCCAGUAUUACGAUGGGCGCCACCAACUCGUGUACGUGCUCGGAGACGAAGUACCGCUUCAAGGACUUCAUCGUCUCCGUCUACCCCGACAACAUCCACGGAGGCCCCGACGAGGAUGCGCUGGCGAAGCUGAACAGCUACAUCGCCAGCAACCCCGAGCGCAUCCCCCGUGUGUGCCGCAAGAUCGGCAAACUUCUUCUCAUCCACCUCGAAAGCAAGAAGGAAAAGAAAGUGAUGGUGUCGGUACUCAUGCUGCGCUCUCUGAUCGAGCACGCCGCCCGCGUGGUGGACUUUGUGCCUCACAGCGUAGAUAUUUGCGCUCUGUUGCUCUCAACAAGUGUCUCGCGCUACCACAUCGGUGCCGCGGAUGUGCUGAGCACGCUGUGUUAUCGGCUCAGCACUCAGUCCAACACGGACUCGGCACGUCGGCUGAUCGCCGACAACAAGGAUCGCCUUGUGCCGCAGCUGCUGCAGAUGACGUCCGAUCACAUAGAGUCGCGGAAGUGUGCAAACACGGUGCAGACGCGCUACGCCGCGAUCCUGGCACUCGGCAACAUCGCCAACUGCAUCCACACCGCCUUGGCCGGGAAUGCGGCGGUCAUCAUGCAGGCCAUGAUCGUCAAUCUGAUUCUCGUGCUGCGGAAGCGUGCGCAGAAGCCGCUGAGUGAUGCAAGCGUGCAUCUCCUGGCGAAGCGGCACGACGGCGGCGCCGACGUAACGUCGGUGGCCAGCCCCAUCGUGAAACUGCCGGCGGAAACGGAGGAGCAGGAUGUCGUGUACGCGCUGGCCUGCAGCCAUGGCAUUGGUGCGACGGCAGCCUGCACCACCGCGGCCGGCGUGGAGGGGCUGCUGAACCGCGUCACGGCGCUGCUAGAGGCGCAAAAUGGGUGGGGCAUACCGCACGUGCCGUCGCUGGUAUUCCGCGACAUUGUGUCCGCCAUGCAGCGCCGCCCACAGCAGCUGGGCUUCCUCGUGUACCAGUGUCUGUGCGAUGUGGGGCAGCGCACGUCUGACCCGAGCGUGCGUAUUGGUGUGCUACGCUCUCUGCAGGCCUGUGUGGACGUGCUGCCGAUGACGGGCGGUCGCCCGGCGGUGGUGCUGGAUCACAUUGUGAGUAUUAUGCAGCUACCCAUGGCCGGCAGCACCGCCGACGGGGCCGCCGCUGUGAACGAGGACGGUGUAGAGAGCGCGCGUCUCGAGAAGGAGACACACGACGCCGUCGUGAUGCUAACCAGUCGGCUUCUUCGCUCUACCCACCUGCGACACAAUGCGUCGCAGCUGCAGCGUAUCCUUGUCUCGCUGUGGCACCUGCUCGAGGCAGCGCAGAGCAGUGGCACACCGCAUCCAACGCUGGCGCUGCGGCUCCUUGUCGUGGCCGCGCCGUACCUGCGCUCCGUGCCGCUGGUGGGCCGCAGAGACAUUCGUGUAACGGAUGGUCUUGAAUGCUACCUCAACGGCAGCGGCGACGAUGUGCAGCGACACCUCGCCUCGCGCGUGCUGACCGGCAUUCUCGCCGGCAUCCCGGCUCCGAAGCACAUCGCGGUAGAAGGCGGCGGUGGCAACAAAGCAAGUGUGGCGGAAGUUACGGAUGCGUUCUCGGCAACGCCGUCACCACCCACAGCCACGGAGACGUUGUUCACGGACGAGGAAGACGUUGCCUUCGCGCAGGAGUGGGUAAAGCGGAUGUCGAAGGAAACGGAAGGAGUCACGCCGCUGACGGUGGUGUCGGUGGCGAACGUGCUCUGUGCCCUCAUGGCAGGCUACGGCGUGAGUGGGCUGCCCUUCACGCUCAUGUUCCUCUGGACGCUGCAGCAGCGCUGCGUGCGCGUAGAGCCGGCGAGUGCAGCGGCGCGGCAAGACGACACCGCCAGCGCGUCUACCGCGGCGAUGACGACGAUGUCGGUGUCGAGGGCUGCCACGUCGCCCCUCACCCGCGCUUGGUUGCAUAUGAUUGCGGCCUUGCUGGUCUGCUGUGGCCGCGUGUACGCGAUUCCUAAGCUGCAGGCGUAUGGGCAGGAGAUUCUGGAGAAAAGAGCUGCGGCUGGCCACCUGGCGAGCUGCUUCGAGCCGGCUCUCCGCGUCUCCGGGCACGCGGCGGGUGUAUACACGGUCAGCGGACUGCGCUACCACGCCUCAGAGAAGAGUCGCCCGCUCGCGACGGACUUCACAGAGGCGCCUGUGUCGAAGCUGCCGUCGUUUAGCUACGUGACGAACAUCAUUGUGGACGCGGAUUGGGCAGACGUCGCCAUCGUCUUCGGUGCCAGCGAUGAAGAAAACUUGCACAUGGUCAUCGAAGAAGUGUGCUUCCAGCCAGACAGCGAGGUAAGUGUGAGCCUGGCCAGCGCCAUCGCCGCACGCAGCUCAUCCAUGCCCGCCGCCGACGCCACGACGCAGAGGUCGCUUCACUUCUCCCUGAGUGUGCAGGAUGAGGCCAAGGUAAGCACACUGCGCUCUCUGCGCAUCUCCGUGGCGGACAGCAGCAUCCUGCGUGCGCAGGACAGCCGUGGGGCGGUGCCACUGAGCGCCGCUGCGAUCAGCACAGCCAAGAAGGUGCAGGAGAUCGCAGAGCACUACAACGUGAGCGCUGCGACGCAGGUGCUGCCGCCGGAGACGACGGCCGCGCUUCCUCCGCUGCCGAUGUUGCCGCUGCACAGAGACGACGAGGACACUUCAGGGGGUAUGAGCGAGUCCAGCGAGCUCGCGCCGGAGGUAUGGGGGAAGGCGAAGUCACCGCCGUUGUAUGUGGCCAGGUUCACCGUAGACAGCCGCUCCCGCAGCGGCGCCGGCACGGAGAGCGCGGCGCUUGUCAACCCGCUCAAUAUGGACGUUGGCAUCCAAGCUUCUCGCAAAGGGCAGACGGCGCUGUCGAUUCGGGCCCUGCCGGCGGCUCGCUACGUGUCCAUGGUGUAGAGAGAGAGGAAGGCCGGUACAAGCGUGUGUGUUCGCCUCACCGUACCCCACCCGCCCGCCCUCCUCUGGUGUCAGUGGGGUGCUGGGAGACGCUGGGGAGGGUGGGCCUGUGCUGCACGUCACGGAUGCCCUCUUUUCAUUACUUGCUUGCUCGCACGUGUGGUGGGACCAAUACGGCAUACGGGCCGCGGGUAGGCGGUGCAGCAGGUGGGAGGGGCGAUAGAGGCAACGCAUCGCCGCGUCGAAUAGAUGCUUGCUUGCCCGCUCUGUGUGUGUGUGUGUGUCUCGUCCCCAUCCAUCGCUGACCGCCGCUGCCGGCCCACCCCACCCCGUCCUCUCCCCGCCUUUCUCUGUACAGCUACAACCGCAUCUUCGUUAGCUCUUUUGGGGGAGGGGGAGGGCGCAGCUCCCACCACCAACACCUUUGCGUCUCUCUGCUUGAUGGGGGUGCGAGAUAGGCGUGGCGAGGACGAGGUGCCACGUCGUGUCCGUUGCUUCGUUCGCUCCUUUUUGGGGGGAGCGCGUGCGUGUGUCGCCUUGCACACACCCACACACACACACGCACGCACACACACUACGGUCGUCUCUACAGUGCGAAGCUCGAUGGGCCUCUUGUGGAGACUUCCUCUCUAGCAAUGGGUGUGGCUCUGGCUGUGUGCGUGUGUGUAUUCCUCUCAGAAAUGAGGGAAGAGGGCUGACCCACCCGCAUGGCACCUGCACCCACCUCCGCACCCUCCACUUUCGGCGCUGCCCGUGUCUCCGUCCGGUCGAGUACCGCCACCCGCCUCUCACACGUCUCUCUGUCUCGCAUGUCUCUCUCCGAUCGAAUGCAG